GAUAACAUUUUGUCCUCAGCUCUGUUUCAGCUCCAGGCAAGGAAAGCAGCAAAACCAGGCAAGCACUGCCAGCCUGACUUCAGGACCAGCUGCACUGACUAAUGACCUCCUGCCCUGGUGCUGACCAAUCAGUAGAGACCACAACUCUGAGGGAACACAGUGGGAGAGCUGGUUAUCUCAACCCUUACCUCAAAGAUUUUCUAAGAUGGGCCCAAAUACAGUCAUGGACCUGCUACUUAAAGUGAGGAGCCUGGGAUUCUGAGAGAAGACUCAAGUGCAACUGUUAGCGUGGUUGGUGACACAGACUGUGAAACAAUUCAAGAAGAGAAGAAAUUGCAGAAAGGUCCCCAGAAGACUUGCAGCCAGGGGAGCAGUGGGCGGUGGCAGCUCAAUCUGGGCUUUCCACCCCGCCCCUCCGAUCCUGUCUCCAGGGCCCCCGUUUCUUUACCUCCCUGGGAGCUGACAACAGCCCUGCCUUGGCUCAUUCCUGUCCUAUAACUUUUCUAGACAACCAGAGCAGAGCACUGCCGAGGCUCUCUCCUGUUAUUUCUACCCUAAGCCCUUCCUUCAUUUAAUUGUCCCAGCCUCAAUAAACAUAGUCUAAAGUCA